CGGUACAUCGGUGACAGGUGGUGCAUGGUUGUCGUCAGCUCGUGUCGUGAGAUGUUGGGUUAAGUCCCGCAACGAGCGCAACCCCUAUUGUUAGUUGCCAUCAUUCAGUUGGGCACUCUAGCGAGACUGCCGGUAAUAAACCGGAGGAAGGUGGGAUGACGUCAAAUCAUCAUGCCCCUUAUGACCUGGGCUACACACGUGCUACAAUGGUUGGUACAACGAGUUGCGAGUCGGUGACGGCGAGCUAAUCUCUUAAAGCCAAUCUCAGUUCGGAUUGUAGGCUGCAACUCGCCUACAUGAAGUCGGAAUCGCUAGUAAUCGCGGAUCAGCACGCCGCGGUGAAUACGUUCCCGGGCCUU
rnacentral:rRNA from 1 species